UUUACGCACACCGCCAGAAGGGCGGGACCUAAGACUCCGCCCCUGACCAGUUCCCGCGCGGGACGGGUUUUGCGGUUACUCUGAACGGAAACGGUUGGAGUCCUGAUGUGGAACGGACCUCAAGCGGCCGGAAGUCGGCUUUUUUCCCGUGAUCUCAAGCCCUAGGAACACAGUUCCCGUUUCCUUUUGUUCUGCCGUCUGGUUCCUGGUUUCCGGGCCGCCGUCCGCUUUCAGGGGAUCCAAUACAAUGACUCUUUUGGCAUCCAGUGGCACCAGGCAUGCACAUGGUACAGAAUGAUCUUUCUUACUCAUGAUCACUAGGAGUCUACACUUUGAGCAUCCCAGCAUUAGCUGAUCUGAUUGGAUUUAUGGGUAAAUUACAGCUUUCAGGGGGGAGGUGGGGAGGCAAGCCUUGAACUUGUGAUCCUCUUUUUCUCAGUCCCCUGAAUGCUGGGAUUUCCAGGCAUGUGCCACUAAAGUGAGAACAUUGUAGCAGAUGGUGUGUUUUUUCUGUUUUGCGAUUAUCACAUUUUAAGAUCUCCAAACUUUAUACUCAUAACAUAUCUAUAUAU